rnacentral:rRNA from 1 species
GACGAACGCUGGCGGCGUGCUUAACACAUGCAAGUCGAACGGAAAGGCCCUGCUCUUGUGGGGUGCUCGAGUGGCGAACGGGUGAGUAACACGUGAGUAACCUGCCCUUGACUUUGGGAUAACUUCAGGAAACUGGGGCUAAUACCGGAUAGGAGCUCCUGCUGCAUGGUGGGGGUUGGAAAGUUUCGGCGGUUGGGGAUGGACUCGCGGCUUAUCAGCUUGUUGGUGGGGUAGUGGCUUACCAAGGCUUUGACGGGUAGCCGGCCUGAGAGGGUGACCGGCCACAUUGGGACUGAGAUACGGCCCAGACUCCUACGGGAGGCAGCAGUGGGGAAUAUUGCACAAUGGGCGGAAGCCUGAUGCAGCAACGCCGCGUGCGGGAUGACGGCCUUCGGGUUGUAAACCGCUUUCGACUGUGACGAAGCGUGAGUGACGGUAAUGGGUAAAGAAGCACCGGCUAACUACGUG